rnacentral:rRNA from 1 species
UUGUCGAACGGGGUUAUUCUUUAUAGCUUGCUAUGGGGACAAUUAGUGGCAGACGGGUGAGUAAUGCAUAGGAAUCUACCUAGUAGUAUAGGAUAGCCACUAGAAGUGGUGGGUAAUACUGUAUAAUCCCUGCGGGGGAAAGAUUUAUCGCUACAUGAUGAGCCUAUGUUAGAUUAGCUAGUUGGUGGGGUAAUGGCCUACCAAGGCAGUGAUCUAUAGCUGGUCUGAGAGGAUGAUCAGCCACACUGGAACUGAGACACGGUCCAGACUCCUACGGGAGGCAGCAGUGGGGAAUAUUGGACAAUGGGCGCAAGCCUGAUCCAGCUAUGCCGCGUGAGUGAGGAAGGCCUUAGGGUUGUAAAACUCUUUCAGUAGGGAAGAUAAU